ACACACACACACACACUUUGUACAUGAAAGACAACACAUGGAACAAUACCCCCGAGUUUCAGGUUACUCUUUGUUGGAACACAUCAGUGCUUGCACCACCUCCACCACACACACACACACACACACACGAGGAGGGAAACCACUGAAAGCUGAGCAAACUGUUUACUUGACAAACUAGUUCAGCCCUGUAAAUUAGUGUCAAUCAUCAUCAGUCCAGUACCACCCCUGUAUGACAGCAAUCAAAAGAGCAUGACAGAGCACAGUAAGAAAAAAUACUGGUAAAAGAAUAUCUUCAUAUCUCUAAAGAUAUGUAUGGAUUUACAGUAAUAGAAGAUACUGCCAUAUAUACAGUGGGUAUUGGUAACUAUAAUACAGGUUACAUUCUAUUUUGUUGUUGUUCAUAUUCAUUUUUAUACUGUAAUAUGUUGUUAGGUCACUAUGGACAAAAGCGCCUGCCAAAUACCAUAACUAUACUAAACUGAAUAGAAUAGAAUGGAAUAGAAUGGAAUGGAAUAGAAUGGAAUCAACUGAAGUAGCCUAGAAAGUAAAAAAAGUGAAACUAGAGUGGGAGUGACCUCUUUGAAGUUGGAGCUUUGGCAAACAUGUCGGCCGCUGCCAGCGAACACCACCACGUACUGCAGUCUUAUCAGCUCCAGGCAUGUGUGGACAACGAGAGCAGGAGGAGAGGAGGUGGGCAGCUCAUGCACUUCUUAAACACACAGCAACUUUUUUUUUUACGAGCCCAAGCUCAACAUUCCAGGGUAACAAUGUGCCACUACUUGACCGCCCAAUCAGAAACAGCUGCAGCCAUUGGCGACGGCAUUCAGCUUUUCCUUGGCAACGCCUCCGUGUAACUCCCACCGACAGCCACCAUAACCUUAGAGGCCGUUUACACGACACCGCCGGGCUGCCAAGGUCGACAGAGGACUCGAGGAGGGAGCGAGAGAGAAGAGGAUGGUUUACAUCACAUCCUGCGACGAAUUACGUGAGUGAGUGAGUCAGAGAACAACACCACAAGACUGUUGACCAUCUACG